GGACCGUUAACCCAGACGCAACGACGAGAGAAGAAUUCGUCGUGAUCAGCAAGACGAAACAAGUUCUCCAUCACCAAUAAGGUACUAGGGGAGUGAGUGAUUUGGGACGGAUUGAGUUGGGUCAGGUCAUAUCAAGGGAGAGAGUCGACGAGUUGGUUGAGUCGGGUCAAGUCAGAUCAAGUCUAUAGUGACAAUAAAUGGAUUGGAUCGAGUAAGGAAGCAAUGAAAGGGAGAGAUGGAGUUUUCAAAGGAAGUUGAAUCAGGUGAGCCCCUAGAAGAGACAUUCCAUGGCAAUGAUGAAGAGAAAAGAUGCUGACUAGGACAAUGAGAAGGGAUCCCACGUGGAGGGAGGAAGUCGAAGGCAUGGGGUGAGGGGGCCACACGUCAGCAUCUUUGUACCUCAAAAAAAAAAAUGAAAAUUUAGAAUUUGCUGAGUGGAAAGGCUGUUUUGUUUUAUGGCUCACACCACCACCUUGCCAACUGUUACACUUCAAUAUCUAUGCUCAUAAACAUCAACUCUCUCCCUCUCUCCCCCUCUAUAUAUAUAUAUUUUAAUACUCUUUUUUUU